UACAGAGACUGCAAGCGUUAUUCGGAUUCACUGGGCGUAAAGGGUGCGCAGGCGGCCGUGUGUGUGAGGCGUGAAAGCCCGAGGCUUAACCUCGGAAUUGCACCUCAAACUACACGGCUAGAGUACUGGAGAGGGUAACGGAAUUCACGGUGUAGCAGUGAAAUGCGUAGAUAUCAGGAGGAACACCUGCGGUGUAGACGGCUUUCUGGACCAUCACUGACGCUGAGACACGAAAGCGUGGGUAGCAAACAGG
rnacentral:rRNA from 1 species